UUUCCCUUACGAAUUUGUCGUAUAUGAAAGCUGCCCCUCUGAACUGUGGUAGAACUAGCCAUGCCACCAACACUAACUUCACGGUGUACCAGAUAGGGAUCCAUUCUAGGAUGGAUUGGAGGAUCAUCUCUGUGAGAGUAAGAAAAGAAUAGAUGAUCCAAUAAGCAAGCCACUGCUCAUCAUCCAAUUUGGAGGGGCUUUCUAUGGCCAUCACAGAUGCAUAUAAGGGGUAUAGCAACAUCAACACUGGCCCAGAAAGUGCAUGAACAUGAGUAAGCAACGUCCAUAAACGACCCAUAUUUGCACUAUUCCUGCUUAUUUUUGGGUUCUAACUUGUAACUGAAACGGACACAAAACCAGUCAAGAACUGAUAACAGAAAUGGGAAAAAGGUUUGGACUUUAGAGGUAUCAAGGUCGAGUGAACGGAAAUUGGGAACACAAUUGAUUGUGAAGGGGAUAUAUAGUUAUAUUGGAGACCUGAGGACACGUGGCAUUGGUGGAGCCAGUAUCGGAUUCUGCCUAAAACUUGUCGAAGUAGAUUUAGCACCGUCCGGAUGAAUAAAUAAUAAAGAUGGUGGGCAUGCCUU
rnacentral:misc_RNA from 1 species